rnacentral:rRNA from 1 species
CAGUAGCCGCGGUAAUACGGAGGGGGCUAGCGUUGUUCGGAAUUACUGGGCGUAAAGCGCACGUAGGCUGCUUUGUAAGUUAGAGGUGAAAGCCUGGUGCUCAACACCAGAACUGCCUUUAAGACUGCAGAGCUAGAACGUCGGAGAGGUGAGUGGAAUUCCGAGUGUAGAGGUGAAAUUCGUAGAUAUUCGGAAGAACACCAGUGGCGAAGGCGGCUCACUGGACGACUGUUGACGCUGAGGUGCGAAAGCGUGGGGAGCAAACAGGAUUAGAUACCCCUGUAGUCCCUGUCUCUUAUAA